AUAAAAUAAAAUCUUUCAGUGACACUCGUGUUCUUCCCAGUAAGUGUCACACCAUGGCUGACCUGACUGCCUCAGCCACACUGGCCUUCUCUGUUCCUGCCCACUGAAUUGCCUUUGUACAGUCUGUUCUCUGGGUCUGGAAGCUCUUCUCCAUCCACUCCCACCCACCUUCCUCUAUCCAGCUAACCAACUAAUCCUUCAGCUAUCCCUCAAAUAGCACUUCUUUUAGAAAGCCUGGCCUGACCACCCCACCCCAAACUGAGUCAGAUCAUCUGCAUAGUGCUCUCACGGCUACCAGUACUUUGCUUUCAAAGCUCUUAUCACAGUUUGAAAAUACUGUAUUUACUUUAUGUACUUAUUUAUUCAAUGUCAAUAUCCCCACUAUACUGUAUG
rnacentral:lncRNA from 10 species